GUGUUCUCUUUGGUAGCACAUAUACUAAAAUUGGAGUAAUACAGAAAAGAUUAGCUUGGCUCCUGCGCAAAGAUGACAUGGAAAUUCAUGAAGCAUUCCAUAUUUAU